rnacentral:Y_RNA from 1 species
GGUGUCCAAAGGUAGUGCCUUAUCUCAAUUGAUUGUUCACAGUCAGUUACAGAUCAAACUCCUUGUUCUGCUCCUUCCCCUUCUCACUACUGCACUUGACCAGUCUAAA